UACGUAGGGACCGAGCGUUGUCCGGAAUCAUUGGGCGUAAAGAGCGUGUAGGCGGCCAGGUAGGUCGGUUGUGAAAACUAGAGGCUCAACCUCUAGACGUCGACCGAAACCAUCUGGCUAGAGUCCGGAAGAGGAGAGUGGAAUUCCUGGUGUAGCGGUGAAAUGCGCAGAUAUCAGGAAGAACACCCGUGGCGAAGGCGGCUCUCUGGGACGGUACUGACGCUGAGACGCGAAAGCGUGGGGAGCGAACAGG
rnacentral:rRNA from 1 species